rnacentral:lncRNA from 1 species
GAGGAUACAUUUUCCCAAAUGUGUGAUAGCUUUCUAACCAGCAACCACGCAUGAAUUCACUAGCAAGAAUCGGAUGCAAAUAUCUCAUAAUCUCAGAAUAUAGAAUACAACAGAUGCAUCAGAAAACCUAGUCCACACUCACUGCCCAAAUCCAAGCCAUCCCAUUUAACUGGGACGAAUGCAUCCUAAGUUUACCAAGAGCACAAUAACACAUAUUAUAAAAUAAAUUNNNNNNNNNNNNNNNNNAGGACGAUCAACCUACUGACCUCAUAUAUAUAAAGUUUACCAAGAGCACACUAGCAUAUAUUAUCCACAAUAACUUCAACUAAUCACUAGAUGAAAACAUUGUUCGACACCAGUAGUGUGACAACAAAACAUUAGAGAUCCAAACAAAAUAGCAUGUUUUCCCCCUUCUCCAAAAGAAAACACCAAGAAAUUACAGCACACCACCAGCCACCAGCAAAUUAAAAGCAACAAGCCCUACUACUAGAUUUAGUUACUGUCUUUA